rnacentral:rRNA from 1 species
CCUAACACAUGCAAGUCGAACGGUAACAGGAAACAGCUUGCUGUUUCGCUGACGAGUGGCGGACGGGUGAGUAAUGUCUGGGAAACUGCCUGAUGGAGGGGGAUAGCUACUGGAAACGGUAGCUAAUACCGCAUAACGUCGCAAGACCAAAGAGGGGGACCUUCGGGCCUCUUGCCAUCAGAUGUGCCCAGAUGGGAUUAGCUAGUAGGUGGGGUAACGGCUCACCUAGGCGACGAUCCCUAGCUGGUCUGAGAGGAUGACCAGCCACACUGGAACUGAGACACGGUCCAGACUCCUACGGGAGGCAGCAGUGGGGAAUAUUGCACAAUGGGCGCAAGCCUGAUGCAGCCAUGCCGCGUGUAUGAAGAAGGCCUUCGGGUUGUAUGAACC